AGAAUCAACGCUGGCGGCGUGCCUAACACAUGCAAGUCGCACGAGAAAGGGGAGCAAUCCCUGAGUAAAGUGGCGCACGGGUGAGUAACACGUGAAUCAUCUACCUCCGAGUGGGGAAUAACCUAGAGAAAUCUGGGCUAAUACCGCAUAACACUUACGAGUCAAAGCAGUAAUGCGCUUGGAGAGGAGUUCGCGGCAGAUUAGCUAGUUGGCGGGGUAAUGGCCCACCAAGGCGAUGAUCUGUAUCCGGCCUGAGAGGGCGCACGGACACACUGGAACUGAAACACGGUCCAGACUCCUACGGGAGGCAGCAGUGGGGAAUUUUGCGCAAUGGGGGAAACCCUGACGCAGCAACGCCGCGUGGAGGAUGACGCCCCUUGGGGUGUAAACUCCUUUCGAUCGGGAAGAUGAUGACGGUACCGAUAUAAGAACGCCCGGCUAACUUCGCGCCAGCAGCCGC
rnacentral:rRNA from 1 species